rnacentral:lncRNA from 1 species
AAUAUUGAAAUUCUCACCUACAAUGUGAUGCUAUCAAAAGGUGAGGUCUCCGGGAAAAGUUUACUUCUUACUGGGUGGAGACACUUGGCAUUUGUAAAUGAGAAUACCAAUUUCAAGGAAGAUAAGAGAAAGAACAAAGCCUCCUAGCAUAAACAGAGAUUGCUGGUGAGACAGCAGCCACUGCUCCCAGGCCCGAGAACAGGGGCAGCACCAAAGCUGGUCAGUGUUUCCUCCUUACAGGUCUGAAUGUGCUGCAGAGGAGGGUGCUCCCCAGAGAUCACCCCUGUGACAGAUCGAUUGAAGGACCCCUGAAUGGCUGAAUUGAGAAGAACAAGCAUAUUAGGAGGCCAUACAAUGGGAGCCUCUCAGGCAGACAGACAAAGCCAUGGAAACUGCAGACUUAUUUGUAUGUUUUAGUAAAUACCUUUGCUUCAUUUUCCCCGUCUCCGCCUGGACUGAGGGUCACCUCACCUCUCCUGGUGUCCAGAGCCUCCUUCAGGACAGAUGUUUCAAACCUGAGUUCUCACAAACAACGGGGUCCAGCCC